CCUACGGGUGGCAGCAGUGAGGAAUAUUGGUCAAUGGACGAGAGCCUGAACCAGCCAAGUAGCGUGAAGGAUGACUGCCCUACGGGUCGUAAACUUCUUUUAUAAAGGAAUAAAACGAGCCACGUGUGCCUUUCUGCAGGUACUGUAUGAAUAAGGAUCGGCUAAAUCCGUGCCAGCAGCCGCGGUAAUACGGAGGAUCCGAGCGUUAUCCGGAUUUAUUGGGUUUAAAGGGAGCGUAGAUGGGUUGUUAAGUCAGUUGUGAAAAUCUGCGGCUCAACCGUAAAAUUGCAAUUGAUACUGGAAGUCUUGAGUACAGUUGAGGUAGGCGGAAUUCGUGGUGUAGCGGUGAAAUGCUUAGAUAUCACGAGGAACCCCGAUUGCGAAGGCAGCUUGC
rnacentral:rRNA from 1 species